GUGAACCUGCGGAAGGAUCAUUACCGAGUGCGGGUCCUUUGGGCCCAACCUCCCAUCCGUGUCUAUUGUACCCUGUUGCUUCGGCGGGCCCGCCGUUGGUCGGCGGCCGGGGGGCGCCUCUGCCCCCGGGGCCCGUUGCCCGCCGGAGACCCCCCCACGAACACUGUCUGAAAGCGUGCAGUCUGAGUUGAUUGAAUGCAAAUCAGUAAACUUUCAACAACGGAUCUCUUGGUUCCGGCAUCGAUGAAGAACGCAGCGAAAUGCGAUACGUAAUGUGAAUUGCAGAAUUCAGUGAAUCAUCGAGUCUUUGAACGCACAUUGCGCCCCCUUGUUAUUCCGGGGGCAUGCCUGUCCGAGCGUCAUUUCUGCCCUCAAGCACGCUUGUGUGUUGGGUCGCCGUCCCCCUCUCCGGGGACGGGCCGAAAGGCAGCGGCGGCACCGAGUCCGGUCCUCGAGCGUAUGGGGCUUUGUCACAUGCUCUGUAGAAUGGCCGGCCCCUGCCGAACGUUUCAACCAUUCUUUCCAGGUUGACCUCGGAUCAAGUAAGGAUACCCGCUGAACUUAA
rnacentral:rRNA from 1 species